UGUGUCGCAAGCUGAUAUCUUUAAAAUUAAUGAAGUGUUUAAGCCUUAGUCAAGAAGCUCAUCAAAACAACAGCCCGCUCUCCUCGCGGCGAGCACGGAGCAGCUCCUUGCCAGCCCCCUGCGCUCCGGGGAGAGGGUCCACGGGCUCAGCCUUAGGGCUGACUAGCUGCUAGGAAGGUGAGUCCCCAGGAUAGCGAGUGUGGGACAGGCCUGGAGAGAGCAGUGGCAUGCACUCAUCACCUGGGAAUUAACACCACCUCUGUGCCUGUGGGCGGAGGGGCUGUGAGCUGCUGCUGUGGCCAGUAGCUCCUGACUGUCCCAGUAGUGUUGAUGUGGACAUAGGGCAGCUCAGGAGCCUUCCUGAUGUCCAUGCUGGAAAGGACAGAGUUUUGCAGGAGCAGUGGGGCACAGAGGGGGCUAGAUCAUCACAGAGGAGGCACAGGCACAAUUACAAGGAAGGCAGGGGCCAAGAUUCCUAAAGGAAGGAUGAAUUUUUGGAUGCCUCCUUUUUCAGGUGUUCGUUCAACUUGAGCAAGAGCUAGCUGAGCCUGAAGCCUUCGUAUUGUGGGGGCAGGUUCUGCAUCAGAGUGGAAAGGAAGGCUUUCAACUGCUCCUGUUUAAACAUAGGAAGCCAAUUCUUGCAAGGAAAUGACAAACCUAAUGGCAAACUUGCAAAUCAUUGACGAUAUCUGGAGCCCAGAUAACGUUGAGCUGCAGUGAAAUCUCCUUCAUCUUGUCACAGAGGCUGAAAUCCCAGUGCUGAUGGAUGGCUGGCAGUGGAAGGAAACCGAUUCUGGUCUGCUAGACACCUGUGGGAAACAUUCACUUGAUCUACACCCAAACUUUGCAUCUUCAGAUGCCCUGAAAUGCAAUUUCAGUUCAUCAGUAAGGAGGAAUUAAAGAUCUGCAAUACAAGAGUCUAAGCUAAACUGAUCCUUGAAAAGGCCAUCUGGAGCCAGUCCUGGUCCAGCAGGUGACAGCAUGUUGUGAGCAGCAGAAGCUCGAGAGCAGCUGUGCGGGGAGGCUGUGAUCACCAUAUCCAGCACCGUGUGCACGCAGAGGUCCAGGUACACAGUGGUGGCCUCUGUCCAGUCCUUGAUGGGUCUCACUCCUCUGUGGUAAUGCUGCAGAAGAUGCCAGGUCAGGUGAUGGGAAGUGGAGUAUCAUGCCACAGAGCAUCUGCAGUG